AUUGAACGCUGGCGGAAUGCUUUACACAUGCAAGUCGAACGGUAGAGGGGGCAACCCCUCGAGAGUGGCGAACGGGUGAGUAAUAUAUCGGAACGUGCCCAGUCGUGGGGGAUAACGUCGCGAAAGUUACGCUAAUACCGCAUACGAUCUAAGGAUGAAAGCGGGGGAGCGCAAGACCUCGCGCGAUUGGAGCGGCCGAUAUCAGAUUAGGUAGUUGGUGGGGUAAAGGCUCACCAAGCCAACGAUCUGUAGCUGGUCUGAGAGGACGAUCAGCCACACUGGGACUGAGACACGGCCCAGACUCCUACGGGAGGCAGCAGUGGGGAAUUUUGGACAAUGGGCGCAAGCCUGAUCCAGCAAUGCCGCGUGCAGGAUGAAGGCCUUCGGGUUGUAAACUGCUUUUGUACGGAACGAAAAGCCCUGGGUUAAUACCCUGGGGUCAUGACGGUACCGUAAGAAUAAGCACCGGCUAACUACGUGCCAGCCGCCGCCGUAA
rnacentral:rRNA from 1 species